GACGAACGCUGGCGGCGUGCCUAAUACAUGCAAGUUGAGCGCUGAAGGUUGGUACUUGUACCGACUGGAUGAGCAGCGAACGGGUGAGUAACGCGUGGGGAAUCUGCCUUUGAGCGGGGGACAACAUUUGGAAACGAAUGCUAAUACCGCAUAAAAACUUUAAACACAAGUUUUAAGUUUGAAAGAUGCAAUUGCAUCACUCAAAGAUGAUCCCGCGUUGUAUUAGCUAGUUGGUGAGGUAAAGGCUCACCAAGGCGAUGAUACAUAGCCGACCUGAGAGGGUGAUCGGCCACAUUGGGACUGAGACACGGCCCAAACUCCUACGGGAGGCAGCAGUAGGGAAUCUUCGGAAAUGGACGAAAGUCUGACCGAGAAACGCCGCGUGAGUGAAGAAGGUUUUCGGAUCGUAAAACUCUGUUGGUAGAGAAGAACGUUGGUGAGAGUGGAAAGCUCAUCAAGUGACGGUAACUACCCAGAAAGGGACGGCUAACUACGUG
rnacentral:rRNA from 1 species